UUCGCCCUUAGGGUUUGAUUAUGGCUCAGGAUGAACGCUAGCGGCAGGCCUAAUACAUGCAAGUCGGACGGGAUUCAACAGCUUGCUGUUGAUGAGAGUGGCGCACGGGUGCGUAACGCGUGAGCAACCUGCCCAUUUCAGGGGGAUAGCCCGGAGAAAUCCGGAUUAGGACCGCAUAUGAUCACGUUGCCGCAUGGCAUUGUGAUGAAAUAUUCAUAGGAAAUGGAUGGGCUCGCGUGACAUUAGCUAGUUGGUAGGGUAACGGCCUACCAAGGCGACGAUGUCUAGGGGCUCUGAGAGGAGAAUCCCACACACUGGUACUGAGACACGGACCAGACCCCUACGGGAGGCAGCAGUGGGGAAUAUUGCACAAUGGGGGAAACCCUGAUGCAGCGACGCAGCGUGCGGGAUGACGGCCUUCGGGUUGUAAACCGCUUUCAGCAGGGAAGAAGCGAAAGUGGCGGUACCUGCAGAAGAAGUACCGGCUAACUACGUGCCAGCAGCCGCGGUAAUACGUAGGGUACGAGCGUUGUCCGGAAUUAUUGGGCGUAAAGAGCUCGUAGGUGGUUGGUCACGUCUGCUGUGGAAACGCAACGCUUAACGUUGCGCGUGCAGUGGGUACGGGCUGACUAGAGUGCAGUAGGGGAGUCUGGAAUUCCUGGUGUAGCGGUGAAAUGCGCAGAUAUCAGGAGGAACACCGAUGGCGAAGGCAGAUCUCUGGGCCGUAACUGACGCUGAGGAGCGAAAGAGUGGGGAGCAAACAGGCUUAGAUACCCUGGUAGUCCACUCCGUANACGUUGGGAACUAGUUGUGGGGGCCUUUCCCACGUCUCCGUGACGCAGCUNACGCAUUAAGUCCCCGCCUGGGGAGUACGGCCCGCAGGGCUAAACUCNAAGGAAUUGACGGGGAACCGCANCAGCNNGCGAAGCAUGCGAUUAAUUCGAUGNCACGCGAAGAACCUUACCAGGGCUGACAUACACCGNANNACGCGAGAGAUCGUCGCCCCCUGNNUGUCGUGUACAGUGGUGCAUGGUUGUCGUCAGCUCCGUGUCCUGAGAGUUGGGUUAAGUCCCGCACGAGCGCACCCUUGUCAUUAGU
rnacentral:rRNA from 1 species